rnacentral:sRNA from 1 species
AAGGAAGGAAGGAAAAGCUGUCUUGAUAACUUGUUUUAGAAUGAAGGAGUAGAUAUCAGACACUGACUUGAGACACCAAGGCUGAUGAGCCCAGUGGAUCAAACGGAUGAACAGUUGCUAAACUUUGCUUGUAUCUUGCUUGGCAUCUAUCUCUUCCUGUCCUGCAGCAGCAGCACCCUGGUCCCUGUUAUUAUAAACUGCUCAGGCUAGUUUCCAGUUUUGUUUGGUUUUGGUUUUGGUUUUGGUUUUGCGGUUGCUUUGUCUUGUUUCGUUCGUGACUACUGUCACCCCAGCAAGUUCUGUUUUCUUGGUGAACCCUGAAACAGGCACCCAGGAAAAAAAAAUGUAAAGUCUGUUUGAAGGGACACCAGCUUUCAUCAUGAUCUCUGGAAGAGCUGGAAGGCUCUCCAAGUGGACUGAAGAUCACCCCGGAGGCUAGCGAUGGAGCUCAGGCUUUCCACUCAACAACUCCGUACAUGCCACGGUUCCUGGAGUGGUGCAAAGAGGAAAGAAAUGCAGAAACCAGCAGAAGGAAACAGGAAGUGAUGGGCUGAGCUCCCAGCCACCGUGUGAGAAAGGACAAGGCUCAAAAGCAACAGGGCCAAGCAUCCAUGGAGCCAAAAUAAAGUUAAUUCUCAAAAGCUGACUUCCUACAGUAGUCCGUCAGAAGGACCGGAAGUUGCUAACACAACCUCCACUGAGAGUCGUUGUGUGCUGUUUCUGUUCCCACCCAUCACUGGUUUUACCCAGUCCCACUCAACUCACAAAGUUCCAGUGAGAUGAGACUUACCAACACGUGAUAAAGAGAUAAAAAUCUCAGUGUCGCUCUAAAGCCUGGGGCGGCCACAUAUUUCACGGAAUUGGUACAGAAUGAAAUAACACGGGCAGAGUUCAAGAAGCAGCCAGGAGCCCCUUGACAAGACGAGAACUGAGAGCCACAGCGAGUGUCACCCACAAAAGGGAGUCCACAUCAGAAGGGGAAUGGCUUAGAGGUUUCCUAGUCCCCACUCAUCAACCUAGAACCCAGAAAUCAAAGAGACCAGGUGACAACAGCAAGCCAAUGACCAUUUUUGGGGGUAGGCAAAUGGAGUAGUAAGAACAGGAAAGGGGGAGAUAGAUCAGGCCAGACUCAGCUGUGGUGUCUGAUGGAGAAGAAAGGGUUGGAGCCCGGAUGUUCCUGGGAUUCUAUCAGUUUUGGGAAAAUACUUUCAGAACUGAAGGUGUCCUGUUGUCUGAUGUUGGCAGUGCUUCGCCAACAGGGUACUAGAUAAUACUCUGGGGGGAGGACCGAGGACUAGACAGCAAAGAAAGUUGGGGAGGAAGCAAGCUCCAAGUUUAGCCAGCAUUCUUUGGAUUUAACCCUGCUGCCCCUUCCUAGUCCUCUCCAUUAUGUCAGGAGGGCACAGGUCAUGUUAAUUUAAUAGGUUUUUCUGAAAGCCUUCAAGAUUAUCCAAGUCACAACUACGUGCAGAAUGAAUUAUGUAUACUCUGUUACCUUAAUGAUUUUCAUAAAUCUAUUAAACUUCUUCAUCCUUCUUCUCCAACUCUGCUGCUGUUGAUCUCUCCCUCUCUGCUUUUCCUU